UGAAUACGAGAUGCUACGGCGUCGAAGCAGUCUAUGUCAUACUUCCAAGAAAAGCUUGCACUGUCAUAAACAAAUAAUGCCUGUACCAUAACCGACACAGGUGGGUAGGUAGAGUAUACUAAGGGGCGCGAGAUAACUCUCUCUAAGGAACUCGGCAAAAUGACUCCGUAACUUCGGGAGAAGGAGUGCCUUAUUUUAUAAGGUUGCAAUAACAAGAUCCAAGCAACUGUUUACCAAAAACACAGGUCUCCGCUAAGUCGUAAGACGAUGUAUGGGGGCUGACGCCUGCCCAGUGCCAGAAGGUUAAAGAAGUUGGUUAGCAUCCGCGAAGCUGAUAACUGAAGCCCUGGUGAACGGCGGCCGUAACUAUAACGGUCCUAAGGUAGCGAAAUUCCUUGUCGGGUAAGUUCCGACCCGCACGAAAGGCGUAAUGAUUUGGAUACUGUCUCAGAGAGGGGCUCGGUGAAAUAGACUUGUCUGUGAAGAUGCGGACUACCUGCACCAGGACAGAAAGACCCUAUGAAGCUUUACUGUAACUUGAAAUUGAAAUUGGACUUUACUUGCGCAGUAUAGGUGGGAGGCGUUGAGAAUAUUCUUGCGGGAAUGUUGGAGCCAUCAGUGAGAUACCACUCUUGUAAUGUUAGAUUUCUAACUUUGUAUCAUUAUCUGGUCAAAGGACAGUUUCAGGCGGGCAGUUUGACUGGGGCGGUCGCCUCCCAAACGGUAACGGAGGCGCACAAAGGUUUCCUCUGAACGGGUAGAAAUCGUAUCUAGAGUGUAAAGGCAUAAGGAAGCUUGACUGUGAGACCUACAAGUCGAGCAGGGACGAAAGUCGGUCUUAGUGAUCUGACGGUGCUGAGUGGAAAGGCCGUCACUCAACGGAUAAAAGUUACUCUAGGAUAACAGGCUGAUCUCCCCCAAGAGUUCACAUCGACGGGGAGGUUUGGCACCUCGAUGUCGGCUCAUCGCAUCCUGGGGCGGUAGUACGUCCCAAGGGUUGGGCUGUUCGCCCAUGAAAGCGGUACGCGAGCUGGGUUCAGAACGUCGUGAGACAGUUCGGUCCAUAUCCGGUGUAGGCGUUAGAAUAUUGAGAGGAGCCUUCUUUAGUACGAGAGGACCGAGAAGGACAUACCUCUGGUGUACCAGUUAUCGUGCCAACGGUAAACGCUGGGUAGCUAUGUAUGGAGUGGAUAACCGCUGAAAGCAUCUAAGUGGGAAGCCCACCUCAAGAUAA
rnacentral:rRNA from 1 species